rnacentral:tRNA from 3 species
GCGGUUGUGGCGGAAUAGGCAGACGCGCUACUUUGAGGGGGUAGUGAUCACAAGUCGUGUGGGUUCAAGUCCCACCAACCGCACCA